AGCAGCCGCGGUAAUUCCAGCUCCAAUAGCGUAUAUUAAAGUUGUUGCAGUUAAAAAGCUCGUAGUUGAACUUCGGGGUUCACCCAUUGGUCAGGCUUAAUUGUCUGUACUGGUGAGAUGAGUCUCUACCUUCUGAGGAACUUUCAUGCCAUUUAUUUGGUGUGGUUGGAAAUCAGGACUGUUACUUUGAAAAAAUUAGAGUGUUUAAAGCAGGCUAACGUCUGAAUACAUUAGCAUGGAAUAAUGAAAUAGGACGGAUUGAUUCUAUUUCGUUGGUUUCUAGGGUCACCGUAAUGAUUAAUAGGGAUAGUUGGGGGCAUUAGUAUUCAAUUGUCAGAGGUGAAAUUCUUGGAUUUAUUGAAGACUAACUACUGCGAAAGCAUUUGCCAAGGAUGUUUUCAUUAAUCAAGAACGAAAGUUAGGGGAUCGAAGACGAUCAGAUACCGUCGUAGUCUUAACCAUAAACUAUGCCGACUAGGGAUCGGACGCAGUUAAUUUUAUAAUGACGUGUUCGGCACCU
rnacentral:ncRNA from 2 species